UAGGGAAUUUUCGUCAAUGGGGGCAACCCUGAACGAGCAAUGCCGCGUGAGCGAAGAAGGUCUUCGGAUUGUAAAGCUCUGUUGCCGGGGAAAAAGGAAG
rnacentral:rRNA from 1 species